rnacentral:tRNA from 1 species
GGCGCCGUGGCCGAGAGGUUAGGCAGCGGCCUGCAAAGCCGCGUACAGCAGUUCGAAUCUGCUCGGCGCCU